UUAUUACUUCAUGUAAAUUUAAGGUGUUCAUAUAUGAAAUGUAGCCCAGCACUUAUUAAAGGUCACCAUCAAGCCUGUGUAAACAAUAUGCAAAGUUAAACACUCAAAAAUGUUUAAUCAUAAAAAAACAAAUGAUCUUUCAUUUUAUUAUCAGAGUGUUUCUGUCCACUAACUGUGCAUUCAAUUAUGCAAAAUACGUUACUUGCACACAGUCAAGAUGUUGACUUAAAGGGUGUGUAUUUGAUGAUAGCCCAGACGAUGUUCAGAAUAAGCCACAUGACAGAGGAGAGCUGGAACACGUUACUGUCUCUGUAUUCUCGGAAUUUGGAAUAUAAUGAAGGAUUACCAUCUGAACUAUGUUCUGAAAAGAUGCCAUUUAACAAUGUAAAUAAUGUCAGUAAUCAAGAAGAUGUUAAUACAUAAUAUCUGCUGCAGAAUCUACUUUCUACACCUUGUCUUUAACCUUGCACCAUGGAUGUGUUAACUAUUCAUGUCGUGGAGGACUCGUCUGACAGUGCCGCGUUCUGGGUCCAGGUUCGAUGUGCUGAUCCUUUCCUGCUAAAUU